rnacentral:lncRNA from 1 species
UCUCAAAAAAAAAAAAAAAAAGCAGCUUCUGUUCUUCAUAAACUAAAUCCAACAUUUCCAUCUGGCUGAGAUGUCAUGAAAUGGCAGGUUCAUUAGGUUACAUUCAGCAAAGCAGGCUGACCCAUAUUGCAGAAUCCUAAAGCAGGUCCUUGAAUCAGUUACAUUUUCAGUGCCUUAAAGCCAGGCGAGUGAAGAGUUAACAGGACUGAAGUUUGUCAAUUGAUAUGCAGAAGAACUGAUAGCACAAGAGCUGAC